GAUGAACGCUGGCGGCGCGCCUAACACAUGCAAGUCGAACGAUUAAAGCACCUUCGGGUGUGUAUAAAGUGGCGAACGGCUGAGUAACACGUGGGCAACCUGCCCCUUUCAUUGGGAUAGCCACGGGAAACCGUGGAUAAUACCGAAUACUUCGAGACUUCCGCAUGGAAGACUCGAGAAAGCUCCGGCGGAGAGGGAUGGGCCCGCGGCCUGUUAGCUUGUUGGUGGGGUAACGGCCUACCAAGGCAAUGAUGGGUAGCUGGGUUGAGAGACCGACCAGCCAGAUUGGGACUGAGACACGGCCCAGACUCCUACGGGAGGCAGCAGUGGGGAAUCUUGCACAAUGGGCGAAAGCCGGAUGCAGCGACGCCGCGUGCGGGAUGAAGGCCUUCGGGUUGUAAACCGCUUUCAGCAGGGACGAGGCGAAAGUGACGGUACCUGCAGAAGAAGCCCCGGCUAACUACGUG
rnacentral:rRNA from 1 species